rnacentral:rRNA from 1 species
AGAAUCAACGCUGGCGGCGUGCCUAACACAUGCAAGUCGAACGGGAAAGUGGAGCAAUCCAUGAGUAUAGUGGCGACCGGGUGAGUAACACGUGACUAACCUACCCUUGAGUGGGGGAUAACCUCGGGAAACCGGGGCUAAUACCGCAUAACAUCUUCGGGAUGAGAAGCUGAAGAUCAAAGGAGCAAUUCGCUUUCGGAGGGGGUCGCGGCUGAUUAGCUAGUUGGCGGGUAACGGCCACAAGGCUUUGAUCGGUA